rnacentral:rRNA from 1 species
UAGAAAGUUACUUCGGUACAUCGGUGACAGGUGGUGCAUGGUUGUCGUCAGCUCGUGUCGUGAGAUGUUGGGUUAAGUCCCGCAACGAGCGCAACCCCUAUUGUUAGUUGCCAUCAUUCAGUUGGGCACUCUAGCGAGACUGCCGGUAAUAAACCGGAGGAAGGUGGGGAUGACGUCAAAUCAUCAUGCCCCUUAUGUUCUGGGCUACACACGUGCUACAAUGGCCGGUACAGACGGAGGCGAAGCCGCGAGGCGGAGCAAAUCCGAAAAAGCCGGUCUCAGUUCGGAUUGCAGGCUGCAAUUCGCCUGCAUGAAGUCGGAAUCGCUAGUAAUCGCAGGUCAGCAUACUGCGGUGAAUACGUUCCCGGGCCUU